rnacentral:lncRNA from 1 species
CUAAUAAUUUCCAUAUCUAUAUAAUUGUUAAAUGUGAAAUGUAAUAUAUCAUUGUAUGAAUCGAUGAACAAAGUAUCUUGUUAUCCGUAUCGAUAAUCCACGGAUAAGGCUAUUUCCGGAAAUCCUGAUCGAACAGCAUUUUAAUUGACUUUCCGGCGUCAUGUCGUGCGAAAAAAUGAAGUCAUUGCGCGCGCGGAAGCGCGUGCAUAGAACAGGUGCGCACGCAGCUCUUUGGCAUGCACGUGUCGACGAAUAAAAAAAAGUCUCUCGUCAAAGUUCUAAAGAUUUAACCGUCAUGUUACGAGAAAAAGCAUAGAUUAUAAGAAAUUAGAAAUGACAUCGAAGAUAAGAUUAACUUCGAAUCAAAAGGUUUGCAAUUAAUCCGAUAGACAACGCGUGUUCAUGGUGAAGCCUCAUAUAACAACCGACAUAGAUUUACGUCACAUGGAAUUGGCUUCCUAUCAUAUUUCCAUCGAUCGAAUCUAAACUAAGACAACUUACAUUCAUUUGGAGAAACCUACAAAUGGAAAUUGUUUUGAAUGAUCGAAUUGAUCUAAUGGAAAAAUACGUAUUAAUGGAAUAAUACGUGUAUGUAUUUAUAAUAUUUUCAAUACGUGAAAUGAUAGGUUAGAAAAGAAAGAAAGUUUAAAUGUGAUAAUGGAAGAUCGGACCAGAUUUCUUUUCGUACACGUGUAACGAAAUGCAUACGUGAAACUCCUCGAUGAAUAUCUUUAAUAAAGAGAACAAUUUCAACUACAGAGUCGAUGCACGCUGGACAAGGAUUGAAUAUUAUCAUGAUAAGUAGAAUAAUAUGUUACCGUUCUUUCAUUAAGGAAAUAUCCCAAGUAUUAUUCACGUGUUUCAAAAGGAUAUUAUCUUUAAAAAAAUAGUUAAUUAAAGAAUAAUUUCUCUCUAUUAUUUCACAUAUUAAAUAUUUGCCUUUUGAUUGUAAUGAGAAUAUUUUUUUAAAAUUUUUAUCACUGUAAUCUUUGAUUCAUUUUUUAAAAAAAUAAAGAUAUUUAGCUAUUGUAAAAAGAGAGUUGCAAUUCGUAAAACAGUUGGAAAACAUUGUUUUAUGCACAAUAGUACAAUAAAUCUUGUUGACUUGCUCCUUUGCUGUUUUUUUCUGCACUCUAUCGCGCCAUGAAAAACGUGUGCAUGAAAGAAUCUCGAGCAGCCUCUUGUCUCUCGUGCUUUUCCAAUUUUUUCUUCCCAUUUGCGAAACGCUCGUUAAAAAGCGAUGAAAGAUAAUUCCAAUUCUUGCAAACUGUUUUCCAAAACAAAAGAAAUAUCUAACUUUCACAUUUUUUUUCCAGUUACAAGAAUAGAAGAAAAAUCUUUCAUUUAAAGAAUAUUUGUCCCAGAAAUAAGAGAUUCGAGUGAAAUCCGGAAAUUUAAGUGAUAUUACAGAAAAUUAGAAUUUUUUCUGUGUGGAAUAAAAAAAAUUGGAAAAUAAUUAUAUAACUAUAAAUAUGUGAUAGUGAAAUUUGAUAUUUUUCAUUAUAUUUUUCUUAUCUUAUAAUAUAAUAAUUGAAAAAAAGUGCUUUUAAAAAAUAUUAUUUAUCCUUAUUUGAUGGUUAUUGAUAAUGGAUGAAAAAUAUUGCAACAAUAGACGAUAAUUCGUCAAGAUUAAGAUACAUAUCUAACAAUAAAUAUAAGAAUUAAAUUUGAUCGAUCAUUAUUCUUAUUAAUUUAUCAUUCUCACUCUCUAUUUAUUUAUUUUACACAAACAAAAUUAAAAAUACUCAAAGUUUUGCUUGAAUAUUUCAAAAACGAAUAUUUUGUGUAAAAGUUCAUAUAAGAUUUCAACGUGCAAAUAUUUCAGGAAUCCAAAAUCCCUAAGGAUGGUAUAUCAAUCUUUCAUGAUGGCCGUUUCAUUUGCAUCAAAAGCCAAUGGACGUUAAAAGAUUUAUACAAGAAUCGCUUAAGCGAGAAUCGAUAGAUCGAAUAAAAAGGAAUUUCUUGAAGAGGAUAUUUUUAGAUCGACAGAUGCCACAACCUUGGAUGUAUAAAAGUUGAUCUAAAAAUAAUUGGCCAAUCGUUGCGGCUUAUUUACUAAUGGAAAAUCGGUUCAUCGACGUGUAUAACGGUGUACGCGCAGGUACCGUUUUAAAAAAAGGCCCACCAUGAUGAUAUUUCUUCUAUAAAGCAUAAAAUUCACAAGAAGUGUUCUCAUAAUUUGUUUCAAUGAAAAUGCAACUUUAUAUUCAACCUUGAUGCAACUCAGAUCGAAAAUUUCCAUAAUAAUCGAGAUAUUUUUCUAAAAAUCAAAUUUUUUUAAAUAAAUCUUUAUCAUAAUUUGAUAAAAAUUUUAAAUAAAUUAUUCUCAAAAGUUAAGAAGUAAAUCAUUACAUGAGAAAUGCAAACACUUUGAUGAAAUUCAACACUAAUGUAAGGAUUAUGUAAUUAAAUAAUACAUGUACCAGAGAAGAAUUCUGACGUUUUUCUUAUCUAGAAAAUUAUUUAUGUCGCGAUAUCAAACGAGCAUUGUUGUUAAAAAUACUCGCCUUGGGUUGCAGAAAAAAAUUAAAUCAACGAAUUAAACGAUAAGACAUAUCGAAAACAAAUAGUAGUAAUUUUAUAUUUAUUCUGUAAUAUACUAUGGACGAUAUUGUGUAUCGAAUAUACUUCGUAGUAAUUAAGAUUCAUGCAUAUGUAAUAUGUAUGUAGUAAUUAACACGUGUAUGAUAUCAAUCUUGACUAGAUUUACCGAAGGUAAACAUAGUCAUGUUUUCAUACAAAUUGUUGGAAUCUUAUCAUAAAAAAUUAUUAUUAAGUUUUUUUUUUAAAAUACUUGGACAAAAAAAU